AGUGAACGCUGGCGGUAGGCCUAACACAUGCAAGUCGAACGGCAGCACAGUAAGAGCUUGCUCUUACGGGUGGCGAGUGGCGGACGGGUGAGGAAUACAUCGGAAUCUACUUUUUCGUGGGGGAUAACGUAGGGAAACUUACGCUAAUACCGCAUACGACCUACGGGUGAAAGCAGGGGAUCUUCGGACCUUGCGCGAUUGAAUGAGCCGAUGUCGGAUUAGCUAGUUGGCGGGGUAAAGGCCCACCAAGGCGACGAUCCGUAGCUGGUCUGAGAGGAUGAUCAGCCACACUGGCUCUGAGACACGGUCCAGACUCCUACGGGAGGCAGCAGUGGGGAAUAUUGGACAAUGGGCGCAAGCCUGAUCCAGCCAUACCGCGUGGGUGCAGAAGGCCUUCGGGUUGUAAAGCCCUUUUGUUGGGAAAGAAAAGCAGCAGGUUAAUACCCCGCUGUUCUGACGGUACCCAAAGAAUAAGCACCGGCUAACUUCGUG
rnacentral:rRNA from 1 species